AUACGGAGGGUGCAAGCGUUACUCGGAAUCACUGGGCGUAAAGCGCGCGCAGGCGGUCUUUUAAGUUGGAUGUGAAAGCCUACGGCUCAACCGUAGAACUGCAUCCAAAACUGUCAAGCUAGAGUCCGGGAGGGGAAGAUGGAAUUAGUUGUGUAGGGGUAAAAUCCGUAGAGAUAACUAGGAAUACCAAAAGCGAAGGCGAUCUUCUGGAACAGUACUGACGCUGAGGCGCGAAAGCGUGGGGAGCAAACAGGAUUAGAAACCCCAGUAGUCC
rnacentral:rRNA from 1 species